UACGUAGGGUGCAAGCGUUGUCCGGAAUUAUUGGGCGUAAAGAGCUCGUAGGCGGUCGGUCGCGUCGGCUGUGAAAACCCGGAGCUCAACUCCGGGCCUGCAGUCGAUACGGGCAGACUGGAGUUCGGCAGGGGAGACUGGAAUUCCUGGUGUAGCGGUGAAAUGCGCAGAUAUCAGGAGGAACACCGGUGGCGAAGGCGGGUCGCUGGGCCGAUACUGACGCUGAGGCGCGAAAGCGUGGGGAGCGAACAGG
rnacentral:rRNA from 1 species